UUUCCGUAGGUGAACCUGCGGAAGGAUCAUUCAUAAUAAAGUGUUUUAUGGCACUUUUUAAAAAUCCAUAUCCACCUUGUGUGCAAUGUUAGAUCUCGUCAAUCUUGGCGAGAUUUUUAUACUUCAACCCAUUCUUUAACUAAUUUGUCUGAAAAAUAUUAUGAAUACUUAAUUCAAAAUACAACUUUCAACAACGGAUCUCUUGGCUCUC
rnacentral:misc_RNA from 1 species